UACGUAGGUGACAAGCGUUGUCCGGAUUUACUGGGCGUAAAGAGCGCGCAGGCGGUCGUUCAAGUCGCGUGUGAAAGCCCCGGCUCAACUGGGGAGGGUCACGCGAUACUGAUCGACUCGAAGGCAGGAGAGGGUAGUGGAAUUCCCGGUGUAGUGGUGAAAUGCGUAGAUAUCGGGAGGAACACCAGUGGCGAAGGCGACUACCUGGCCUGUUCUUGACGCUGAGGCGCGAAAGCUAGGGGAGCAAACGGG
rnacentral:rRNA from 1 species